rnacentral:rRNA from 1 species
AUUGAACGCUGGCGGCAGGCCUAACACAUGCAAGUCGAACGGUAACAGGAAACAGCUUGCUGUUUCGCUGACGAGUGGCGGACGGGUGAGUAAUGUCUGGGAAACUGCCUGAUGGAGGGGGAUAACUACUGGAAACGGUAGCUAAUACCGCAUAACGUCGCAAGACCAAAGAGGGGGACCUUCGGGCCUCUUGCCAUCGGAUGCGCCCAGAUGGGAUUAGCUAGUAGGUGGGGUAACGGCUCACCUAGGCGACGAUCCCUAGCUGGUCUGAGAGGAUGACCAGCCACACUGGAACUGAGACACGGUCCAGACUCCUACGGGAGGCAGCAGUGGGGAAUAUUGCACAAUGGGCGCAAGCCUGAUGCAGCCAUGCCGCGUGUAUGGAGAAGGCCUUCGGGUUGUAAAGUACUUUCAGCGGGGAGGAAGGGAGUAAAGUUAAUACCUUUGCUCAUUGACGUUACCCGCAGAAGAAGCACCGGCUAACUCCGUG